rnacentral:rRNA from 1 species
UACGUAGGUGGCAAGCGUUGUCCGGAUUUAUUGGGCGUAAAGCGAGCGCAGGCGGUUCAUUAAGUCUGAUGUGAAAUCCCCCGGCUCAACCGGGGAAUGUCAUUGGAAACUGGGGAACUUGAGUGCAGAAGAGGAGAGUGGAAUUCCAUGUGUAGCGGUGAAAUGCGUAGAUAUAUGGAGGAACACCAGUGGCGAAGGCGACUCUCUGGGCAGUAACUGACGCUGAGGCUCGAAAGCGUGGGGAGCAAACAGG